rnacentral:rRNA from 1 species
UACGGAGGGUGCGAGCGUUGUCCGGAUUUAUUGGGCUUAAAGGGCGCGCAGGUGGCCCGGUCAGUCAGUGGUGAAAUGCGGCCGCUCAACGGUCGAACUGCCAUUGAUACUGCCUGGCUUGAGAGGAGUGGAGGCAGCCGGAACGGACGGUGUAGCGGUGAAAUGCAGAGAUAUCGUGCGGAACGCCGAUUGCGAAGGCAGGUGGCUGCGCUUCGUCUGACACUGAGGCGCGAAAGCGUGGGGAGCGAACAGG